GAUGAACGCUGGCGGCGUGCCUAAUACAUGCAAGUCGAGCGAACGGACGAUAAGCUUUCUUCUCUGAUGUUAGCGGCUGACGGGUGAGUAACACGUAGAUAACCUACCUAUAUUACUUGGAUAAUUUCGUGAAACCGUUUCUAAUACCGGAUAAUAUUUUGUACCGCAUGAUUCAAGAGUUCAUCACACUUUUGCUGUCACUAUUAGCUGGUUCCGCGUUGCAUUAGCUAGUUGGUAAGGUAACGGCUUACCAAGGCAACGAUGCUUAGCCGACCUGAGAGGAUGAUCGGCCACACUGGAACUGAGACACGGUCCAGACUCCUACGGGAGGCAGCAGUAGGGAAUAUUGCGCAAUGGGCGAAAGCCUGACGGAGCAACGCCGCGUGAGUGAAGAAGGUCUUCGGAUCGUAAAACUCUGUUAUUGGGGAAGAAAAGAUGUAUAAGAAAAUGUGGAUAUUUUGACGGUACCUAAAGAGAAAGCCACGGCUAACUACGUG
rnacentral:rRNA from 1 species